AGCAAAAUUCUAUGAAUUUUGUAUUUGUGAAUGCAAUGUUUGGUACCACUGCAGCAACAAUUAUAUGGAUUCAAAUGGAAUCCCAUUACAACUGCUCUUUGGAGACGCACCGCUCUCUGAAAAGGGAGUGAACCAAGCAAGCCUGAGCUAUUCUUAGUCUAGCCCUGGCUCUUAUACUCGGACUGUGUGGGACCAGGUGGAACUGCAUAGGAUGCAUCCUUCUGAUGGCUUCUUUCGCUUGGCAACGUGUUCAGUUUCCCCUGUGUCUUCUCCUAGAUCGAACAUUCAUUUUGCUUGCUGAGUAACACCUGGGUGCAGGUACUGAAUUCCAGGUCAAGGGUUCUGCUGAAGUGGAAUUAAAAUAAAAUGUGGCUUACACAGUG
rnacentral:lncRNA from 1 species